rnacentral:misc_RNA from 1 species
UUUUUUUUUUUUAUUUUAAAUUUUAGUAAUUAAAUUAUUAGCUUAAGCAUAGAAUGUUCAGAACAGUAUCACUUGUUUGAUCUGUGAGUUUUGUGCCUUCUUGGCAUCAUGAGAUUUUGGUUUCAGUGUUUAUUCUCCUUAUUUUUUACUAUUAAAAGUACUCAAAAUUGUAAUAGGACUUUAUCUCAACCAUAGGGUUUUAGCAGAGUUUCUCUUGUCUUCAUUCUGUCCUAUCUAGGGCCUAGCCUGCUAUUAAAUCAAGGCUCUUGUCAGUCUUCUCAUAUUCUUGGCCCACAGGCCUCUUUUCAUCUUUCCUCUUGUUUAACUUAAAGAAUUUGCUGUUGCUUACUUGCUCCUUCUUUUCUGCAAUCUUUGAGUUUGGAGAAGAUAACUACCAAUUUGUUUGCAUGGUUUUUCUCACAUUCAAUCACUAAUAUAAUCUCUACCAUUUGCUGAUGACUUAGCAAGGCAUAUCUGAUAGCUUCAUGCCAUCUUUACAUAUGGUCCAUGAUUUCUCUACUUAUGGGUUUUCAAGGCAUUGUCAAUCCUAUUUCCCAUCCUUCAUGUCUAGGUUGGUGUCAUACUCGCUUAGAAAUAUGAACUUAUGUUUCAGUUGCCUUUUUAUUUGGAUGUUACAUUUAUGUCAUACACUCUGAAUGUAGUACAAGGGCUUGUGCUUUUCUCUCUCUCUCUCUCUCCUUUUUCAUGAUUUGGGUAAAUGUGUUCCUAAAGAGAACCAUGAUGGUAAGGGAACUAACCUGCAUGCAUUACAAAGAAAGUUUAGGAACACAAUUUAAAUGUUCUUUCUCUAUCAACAGAAAUUUAUUUGUGUGUGAAUUUUUCUCAGAUUAUCACUCCAUUAGUCUUUGAUUUCUUGUUAAUCCUGC